AAUGAACGCUGGCGGCGUGCCUAAUACAUGCAAGUCGAGCGAAGCGGGGACGGGUGAGUAACACGUGGAUAACCUCCUAUAAGGCUGGGAUAACUUCGGAAAACCGGAGCUAAACCGAAUACUUAUCAAUGGAUCCGCGCUGCAUUAGCUAGUUGGUAAGGUAACGGCUUACCAAGGCAACGUUGCAUAGCCGACCAGCUAGGGGGACCGGCCACACUGGAACUGAGACACGGUCCAGACUCCUACGGGAGGCAGCAGUAGGGAAUCUUGCGCAAUGGGCGCAAGCCUGACGGAGCAACGCCGCGUGAGUGAAGAAGGUCUUCGGAUCGUAAAACUCUUUUAGUAGGGAAGCGGUACCUAAUCAGAAAGCCACGGCUAACUACGUGCCAGCAGCCGCGGUAAUUC
rnacentral:rRNA from 1 species